rnacentral:tRNA from 1 species
AUCUGGCUGGCUCAGUUGGGUAAGUGUGAGACUUUUGAUCUUAGGGUCAUGAGUUCAAAGCCCAUGUUGGGUA